CCUGCAAGAAAACAUGACGAAACUCCUCGUCGCAAACGCCGGCACCUGGCAACCAUCACCGGAACAAUUCAGCAGCGCGGUCGAGCAGCUGCACAGAGAAGAUUCUGUUCGCCGCGCGAUCGAGUCGGCGCGGGUUUCCGCCACGCGCCAAGGUUCAAUGCAUCCGAGUCCAGAAAACAAAGCACGCCUCCUGGCCAGGCAUCUCCUCCUCUGCGAGCUAACCGAUUGUGGAAACACGCAAGCCAAGCGUCAGUUUUGCAAGAGAGACGUACGUCUUCUCACCUCAGCAUACGGAAAGCCACUCACGGCACCGUACCGAGACGGAAAUUACAGUGUCACACACGUGGCCGAGUGGGUGUGCUGUGCCCACUCAAUGGCCGCUCCUCUCGGAGUUGACGUGGCCGCUGUACAUCCUCAAGACAGCGCACCAUUUUCGCUAUGCUUGUCAAAGCAAGAGCUUGCACGAGUAGAAGCGGUACAGCGCAAGCAGCGGCCGUCUCUCUUUGCGCUUUUCUGGACCUUAAAGGAAGCUUUGUUGAAGGCCCUCGGCUUGGGGCUCUCGACAAGGCUGCAGAUGUGCGACAUCUGCCUUGACAGCGUCAAGCUAGAAAACCUAUCGCUCUUGCCAAACGUGGAACCGGCGUCCGUUUACACUGCACCAAAGUACCGUCUGAUGGUCUCACUGCAGGGUAACACUAAGCAGGCGUGGGCUUGCUCGUGUUUCAUGCUCCCCGGAGACCCUCCUCAUAUUUUGUCAGUAGUGCUUCGGGAAGAGGUGAUGGACGGUGUCAUUGAGGUAAUGUUUGUGUCUCCUCAAACUGCGCUCCGGAAAUAGAUUGUCGAGGGGCCUACCCUAGUAGCCGCUGUUCUGUGUAUAAGCAAUCAGAAUGCAUAUGCACUUUUGAAACUGUGAGCGGGAGCAGUCACUUACCGCUUUCCAAACGGCACUAACGUCUGCAACGCUCCUAUGACGCUCACUCAGAAGCAUCAUCCGAAAGAGGGAAUGUGUGGAUGCAAGCUCCUUCCUUCUCCAUGAAGUGUGGUUCCUCUUUGCUGCUUGUGAAGGUCAGGCCUCCGGCGCUAAUGAUCGUCAUCCGUUCACCCUCUACAUAUUGCUCAGCGUAUUUCAUCAUUCCCUCAUUUCGCUUUGCCUUUUUUUUUUCCGCGCGAAG
rnacentral:misc_RNA from 1 species